GCAAGUCGAACGGUAACAGGAAUUAGCUUGCUAAUUUGCUGACGAGUGGCGCACGGGUGCGUAACGCGUAUACAAUCUACCUUUUGCUGUGGGAUAGCCCAGGGAAACUUGGAUUAAUACCGCAUAGUAUAUAAGAUCGGCAUCGUUUUUAUAUUAAAGGUUACGGCAAAAGAUGAGUAUGCGUCCUAUUAGCUAGAUGGUGUGGUAACGGCACACCAUGGCGACGAUAGGUAGGGGCCCUGAGAGGGGGAUC
rnacentral:rRNA from 1 species